AUUCCAUUUCCACCCACAAAUUAAAAACUCUUGAAUGGCUUCCCAGUGUUCUUAGCAUACGAAAAAUCUUACAAUGGCCUGUAAGGCACUGCAUGAUCUGGUCUCAGCCUAUACAACUGCCGCCUCAAAUGAAUAUUUCUUCCACUCUACUAGCUAUAAUUAAAAUUUAAUUAUUCCAAUGCAUCAUACAAGUAAAUUUAAUGUAGUAUCAAUAGAAGCAAACAAAUGAACACCUAAGGUUCUUUAUGCAUAACAGUAUAUACAUAUUUUGUUUAAAAUUUACUUUCUUGAAAUCUAGCUAUAUACCUUUAAGGUCAGCAAUUAGGUGACAGGAAAUUUAAUUUUCUCAAGCAAGUGGCAUGCUACACUGAAGUUCCAGAAAGUCUUAUCUAAAUCGUGAAAUGAUUAAUAAGGUAAAACAGUCUUACUGGGGGCCAAAGUAGUCUUUUUCAGUAGUCAAAUUUAGCCUUUUCUUUUUCUAUUGAAAUACUCACUGAUUCUAUAAUUUAUUCAGAAUGGUUUGUUAAACUUCUUAAUUU
rnacentral:lncRNA from 1 species